GCCAGACUCCUACGGGAGGCAGCAGUGGGGGAUAUUGCACAAUGGGGGGAACCCUGAUGCAGCGACGCCGCGUGGGUGAAGGAGCGUUUCGGCGCGUAAAGCCCUCUCGGCAGGGAAGAAGGAGGACGGUACCUGACUAAGAAGCCCCGGCUAACUACGUGCCAGCAGCCGCGGUAAUACGUAGGGGGCAAGCGUUAUCCGGAUUUACUGGGUGUAAAGGGGGCGCAGACGGCAGCGCAAGCCAGGAGUGAAAGCCCGGGGCCCAACCCCGGGACUGCUCUUGGAACUGCGCGGCUGGAGUGCAGGAGGGGCAGGCGGAAUUCCUGGUGUAGCGGUGAAAUGCGUAGAUAUCAGGAGGAACACCGGUGGCGAAGGCGGCCUGCUGGACUGCGACUGACGUUGAGGCCCGAAAGCGUGGGGAGCAAACAGGAUUAGAUACCCCCGUAU
rnacentral:rRNA from 1 species